ensembl:lncRNA
ACCACGAAUUGUCGUUAAAUUUGCUAACUGGUGUCUAAAAGCCGUGUAGCUACCUCGGUCCUGCUUGCUAGGUUUGCCACUAGAAGGAAGCAUACUUAAAACAAUGGCUACUUGGAUCCUCAGGGAGAUCCUGUCUGCAAGUCGCGUGGUCACCCUUAGCUUCAUCAAAGCACUAACAGCUCACCCGGCCAGGCUUCAUGAGCACUGACCCUCAAGCAAGCAGGUUUAUUAAACAUUUAGAUGCCAACCUCACUUACUGUUUCCUGCAGUCAUGGAGAGUUUACUUAACAAGUUUGUAAAUAAUAAAACUGGCACUUUGCACACAGACUUGGUACUAUCCUAGGGGAAGGCCUGCUUUAUUUGGUUUCUAGACCGAGUAGGAAGUGAUCCAUUUACCACUGAGGGCAGCCCCAUUCAGAGUCUUAAGUGACUAAGCCAGUGUUGAACAAGCAAUUUCCAGGCUUUGUUCUUCAGGGAACUUCCCAUCAGCUUUGAAGUCGGUCCUGUGCACCCUAGGCACAUGGAUCAGUUCACAAGUGGGGUUCAGUGGAGAGAACUUCCCCCUCAGAAGUCACUUGAAACUUAGAUGAGAUUUGGGACACUUGCUGGUUGACUCUGUCUCAUUUGUGUAAAAAGUAUUUUUUUUUUUCAAGUUAUACUUUGUCCCAUUCCUAGUUAGUACAAAGUCUUGAAAGGGCCUUUGUAGGGCUUUUUAAGUCAGGGUCUUAACUAUGUAACUCUGGCUUGGCCUGGAACUUGCUAUGUAGACCAGGUUACCCUCAAACUUGUCUGUCUUCCCAAAUACUGGGAUUAAGGUUUCUGUGACCAUACCUGGCUUUACCUGAUGAAUUCCUAAACACCAGAAAACCAGUACUGUAUGAGAUGUUAAUGUGUGUUCCUUUCAGACUGGAGUACAGACCAGUAGAUAACAGAUAACAGCUGGUUCACCUUAAUCUGCCUUUUUGUGUAUUAAUCUGUGUUUAGAGAACGGAACAAUAGCCAGAAUUCACCUAGCGAGUUCGAGGCCAGUUGGUGUAUAUGUGGGACUCUUAACCAAAACAGCAAGCGUUCCCUGGGGUAGUUCACAAUGAUCUCCAGCUUCCUUGUUAACCAGAUAACUGCAAGUCAGAUGUAUGACCCUGGUUGGUUUAUUGUAUUGAUAUGUUUCUGUAAUAUGAG